GGAGCUGUGGCUCAGUGGGAAGAGCAUCUGCUUGCCAUGCAGAAGGUCCCAGGUUCAAUCCCCGGCACCUCCG